GAUGAACGCUAGCGGCAGGCCUAAUACAUGCAAGUCGAACGGGAUCCAGAUCAAAGCUUGCUUUGGUCUGGUGAGAGUGGCGCACGGGUGCGUAACGCGUGAGCAACCUACCCUUGUCAGGGGGAUAGCCCGGCGAAAGUCGGAUUAAUACCGCAUGACAUCAUUGAGGGGCAUCUUUCGAUGAUCAAAGAUUUAUCGGACAAGGAUGGGCUCGCGUGACAUUAGCUAGUUGGUAAGGUAACGGCUUACCAAGGCUGCGAUGUCUAGGGGGUCUGAGAGGAGAAUCCCCCACACUGGUACUGAGACACGGACCAGACUCCUACGGGAGGCAGCAGUAAGGAAUAUUGGUCAAUGGACGGAAGUCUGAACCAGCCAUGCCGCGUGCAGGAAGACGGCCCUAUGGGUUGUAAACUGCUUUUAUACGGGAACAAACGUCGGUACGUGUACCGGUCUGAGUGUACCGUAAGAAUAAGGAUCGGCUAACUCCGUG
rnacentral:rRNA from 1 species